rnacentral:rRNA from 1 species
GACGAACGCUGGCGGCGUGCUUAACACAUGCAAGUCGAACGGAAAGGCCCUGCUUUUGUGGGGUGCUCGAGUGGCGAACGGGUGAGUAACACGUGAGUAACCUGCCCUUGACUUUGGGAUAACUUCAGGAAACUGGGGCUAAUACCGGAUAGGAGCUCCUGCUGCAUGGUGGGGGUUGGAAAGUUUCGGCGGUUGGGGAUGGACUCGCGGCUUAUCAGCUUGUUGGUGGGGUAGUGGCUUACCAAGGCUUUGACGGGUAGCCGGCCUGGGAGGGUGACCGGCCACAUUGGGACUGAGGUACGGCCCAGACGCCUACGGGAGGCAGCAGUGGGGAAUAUUGCACAAUGGGCGGAAGCCUGAUGCAGCAACGCCGCGUGCGGGAUGACGGCCUUCGGGUGGUAAACCGCUUUCGCCUGUGACGAAGCGUGAGUGACGGUAAUGGGUAAAGAAGCACCGGCUAACUACGUG